UACGGAGGGAGCUAGCGUUGUUCGGAAUUACUGGGCGUAAAGCGCGUGUAGGCGGUUGCCCAAGUCGGGUGUGAAAGCCUUGAGCUCAACUCAAGAAAUGCACUCGGUACUGGGUGACUAGAGGACCGGAGAGGAUAGUGGAAUUCCCAGUGUAGUGGUGAAAUACGUAGAGAUUGGGAAGAACACCAGUGGCGAAGGCGGCUAUCUGGACGGUUUCUGACGCUAAGACGCGAAAGCCAGGGGAGCAAAC
rnacentral:rRNA from 1 species